rnacentral:lncRNA from 1 species
UGACAUUCUUUAUGAUAGUCACAUUAGCAGCUAAUUAGAAUUUAAUUUUUUUGGGGGGGGGGGGGGUAUGCGAAUAUAUUGAUAAACAUCACCUUGUCCUGGAGAGAUUUACAUGGUUAUCAAAACAUCACGCCAGGGUAAGAAUACAUGAAACACAGCCCUUAUUUUAUGUGUUUCUAAAAUCCCCUAAAAAUGAAUAGUGGAAAACCGAUUGGAACCAUUUCCCUGUUUGACCGCUAGGUUUUAUAAGGUUCUUUUGACUCAUACUGUUGUGCUCUACUGGAAUAAGUGAGUAGCCCAUUGGCUGCGCAUGCGUUGGCUUACAAUCCAUGAUGGUGGCCAUGACACAUGCGCAGUUCGGCACGAGACAACCGUUGGACCCGAUGACGUGUGUCUGCGCAUGAGCUUAGAUAGCCAACGUCGCCAUGACAUCGCCUACGAGCGUGAUCGGGGAUUUCUAUUGGAGAAGCAUGUUCUGCCUAUCUCCAUUCUGUUGGCACUGGACUGUGAAGGUGUCGUUACUGGAGCUGCAAUGACAACAAUGUAGAUGCAUAUUUGAGAUGCAAAUGAAUAAUGAAAAUGUGAUGAUAGAGCACAGAUCUGUCUGUGUGUGUGUGUGUCUAAAUGAGGACUAAUUGUUGAUUUGAGUAUUCAGCCAGGACUCACGAACAACUGUCAACAACACUGAAUCAUAAUCAGGGCUGGAUGACUCCUUAAAUAACUCUCAUCAAAGUCACAUUGACUGUAAUGAAGCAUCAACAUUAGGGAUAAACCAUUGGGAACAGACAGCUAGACCUUGUCCAAUGCAACAACAAAAAGCUGGCAUCCUGCAAAACAUGUAGGCUAUUGUAUGUGACUGUAGGAAAAACGCAUACGAGUUUAGGUCUAGAGUGACAUCCUUUGUAGCUAUUAUUCAUUGAAAAUAUUUUGCUGUCAACUUUCAUUUCAUCAAGAGUUGUAGGUAGAUUUCGAUGGCUAACCCAUUUGUACAAGUCCUGUUGGAAAAUGUAUGUGGGUUUUAACCCACAAGAUCGAUUGCUUUCAGAUACAAAAUGUGUAUGUUUCACAGCUUACAGCCAGGCCAAUGUACUACUCCUCCAGCCCUACUCAUAGUGCUGCGUCUUGUGGACUGGCGACGUGUGUAUGUUUCUGCAGGACCUGAGCCCUAGGACCAUGCCUCGUUUCCUGGCUGUCCCCAGUCCACCUGGUCAUGCUGCUGCUCCAGUUUCAACUGUUCUGCCUCCGGCUAUGGAACCCUGACUUGUUCACCGGACGUGCAACCUUGUUCCGGACCUGCUGUUUUCGACUCUCUCCCGCUCUACCUCACCUGCUGUCUCAACCUCUGAAUGCUUGGCUAUGAAAAGCCAACUGACAUAUACUCCUGAGAGGAAGAUUGCAGUGGGCCUCAAAAGAAUCCGGACAACAGAAGUUUUCUGUUUUGAACUUUGGAGUAGAGCACCCGUCAAAGGAGUUCUCAGGCGUGACGACGGAUGUUCAGGUUGAAUACCUGAAGAGAAUUCCUGGUGUGGUUGGAGCCCGGCGUCUAACCCGCUGGCUGAAUGGAGAGAAAGAAGAAAGUCUGUCGGUACAGUUGUUUUUUGAUAAAGAGCAAAU